GCUGGGCAUGGUGGCACAUGCCUGUAAUCCCAGUGGCUCAGGAGGCUGAGACAGGAGGAUCAUGAGUUCAAAGCCAGCCUCAGCAAUGGUGAGGUGCUAAGCAACUCAGUGAGACCCUGUCUCUA
rnacentral:sRNA from 1 species